rnacentral:rRNA from 1 species
GUGGGGAAUAUUGGACAAUGGGCGAAAGCCUGAUCCAGCCAUGCCGCGUGUGUGAAGAAGGUCUUCGGAUUGUAAAGCACUUUAAGUUGGGAGGAAGGGCAGUAAGUUAAUACCUUGCUGUUUUGACGUUACCGACAGAAUAAGCACCGGCUAACUUCGUGCCAGCAGCCGCGGUAAUACGAAGGGUGCAAGCGUUAAUCGGAAUUACUGGGCGUAAAGAGCGCGUAGGUGGUUUUGUAAGUUGGAGGUGAAAUCCCCGGGCGCAACCUGGGAACGGCCUCCAAAACUACUGGGCUAGAGUACGGUAGAGGGUAGUGGAAUUUCCUGUGUAGCGGUGAAAUGCGUAGAUAUAGGAAGGAACACCAGUGGCGAAGGCGACUACCUGGACUGAUACUGACACUGAGGUGCGAAAGCGUGGGGAGCAAACAGGAUUAGAAACCCUAGUAGUCC